UACGAAGGGGGCUAGCGUUGUUCGGAUUUACUGGGCGUAAAGCGCACGUAGGCGGAUCCUUAAGUCAGGGGUGAAAUCCCGGGGCUCAACCUCGGAACUGCCUUUGAUACUGGGGAUCUCGAGUCCGGGAGAGGUGAGCGGAACUGCGAGUGUAGAGGUGAAAUUCGUAGAUAUUCGCAAGAACACCAGUGGCGAAGGCGGCUCACUGGCCCGAUACUGACGCUGAGGCACGAAGGCGUGGGGAGCAAACAGG
rnacentral:rRNA from 1 species